rnacentral:rRNA from 1 species
GACGAACGCUGGCGGCGUGCCUAAUACAUGCAAGUAGAACGCUGAAGGAGGAGCUUGCUUCUCUGGAUGAGUUGCGAACGGGUGAGUAACGCGUAGGUAACCUGCCUGGUAGCGGGGGAUAACUAUUGGAAACGAUAGCUAAUACCGCAUAAGAGUAGAUGUCGCAUGACAUUUGCUUAAAAGGUGCAAUUGCAUCACUACCAGAUGGACCUGCGUUGUAUUAGCUAGUUGGUGAGGUAACGGCUCACCAAGGCAACGAUACAUAGCCGACCUGAGAGGGGGAUCGGCCACACUGGGACUGAGACACGGCCCAGACUCCUACGGGAGGCAGCAGUAGGGAAUCUUCGGCAAGGGACGGAAGUCUGACCGAGAAACGCGGCGUGAGUGAAGAAGGUUUUCGGAUCGUAAAGCUCUGUUGUAAGAGAAGAACGAGUGUGAGAGUGGAAAGUUCACACUGUGACGGUAUCUUACCAGAAAGGGACGGCUAACUACGUG